GAAUCGAUUUUGCUCCACCAUUGUAGAUUUUCCUGACAGACUACACGAGCUGCCGACAAUUUUGCAAAAUUUAUCUUUAAAAUAAAGUAAAUUAAAUAAAUCCAAAGCAAAAUGACUAACGCCUGGAGAGCCGCUGGACUUACCUACAUUCAAUACUCCAACAUCUGCGCCCGUGUAGUGCGUCAAGCCUUGAAGGCUGAUUUGCGUGCCGAUGCUGCCAAACGUAGCGAGAGCCAUGUCAAAUUUACUCCUUGGGCUAAUGGAAAACCUGCACAUGAAAAGUGAAAACUUUAAAAUUGACCACUGAGCGUCCUUUUUAAAGAACUUUUCGUUAUUAAGCUCUCGUACCCAAGGCGCUGCCGAAUAAAUUUAACCAAUUUCUUUUUGGUUAAGUUUACAUAUAUAAAUCUAUAAAAAUUCCUCCAAAUCUGAAUUCAUCAUAGAAACGGUUGAAAUAAAAUUUUUAAAUUAAUUUCGAAAUGUUUGUGCUGGAAGCAAAAACAUAAAUAAAACAAUUUAAUGAAAAGGAAAA